UACAGGGGGGGCAAGCGUUGUUCGGAAUUACUGGGCGUAAAGGGUUUGUAGGUGGCCACUUAAGUCAGACGUGAAAUCCCUCAGCUUAACUGGGGAACUGCGUCUGAUACUGAGUGGCUUGAGUGCAGGAGAGGAACGCGGAAUUCCAGGUGUAGCGGUGAAAUGCGUAGAUAUCUGGAGGAACACCGGUGGCGAAGGCGGCAUCCUGGACCAACACUGACGCUGAGGAGCGAAAGCCAGGGGAGCAAACGGG
rnacentral:rRNA from 1 species